rnacentral:rRNA from 1 species
CAGUCGCCGCGGUAAUACGUAGGUCCCGAGCGUUGUCCGGAUUUAUUGGGCGUAAAGCGAGCGCAGGCGGUUAGAUAAGUCUGAAGUUAAAGGCUGUGGCUUAACCAUAGUACGCUUUGGAAACUGUUUAACUUGAGUGCAAGAGGGGAGAGUGGAAUUCCAUGUGCAGCGGUGAAAUGCGUAGAUAUAUGGAGGAACACCGGUGGCGAAAGCGGCUCUCUGGCUUGUAACUGACGCUGAGGCUCGAAAGCGUGGGGAGCAAACAGGAUUAGAUACCCGGGUAGUCCCUGUCUCUUAUACA